CCUACGGGCGGCUGCAGUAGGGAAUCUUCCACAAUGGGCGAAAGCCUGAUGGAGCAACGCCGCGUGGGUGAAGAAGGUCUUCGGAUCGUAAAACCCUGUUGUUAGAGAAGAAAGUGCGUGAGAGUAACUGUUCACGUUUCGACGGUAUCUAACCAGACAGCCACGUCUAACUACGUGCCAGCAGCCGCGGUAAUACGUAGGUGGCAAGCGUUAUCCGGAUUUAUUGGGCGUAAAGGGAACGCAGGCGGUCUUUUAAGUCUGAUGUGAAAGCCUUCGGCUUAACCGGAGUAGUGCAUUGGAAACUGGGAGACUUGAGUGCAGAAGAGGAGAGUGGAACUCCAUGUGUAGCGGUGAAAUGCAUAGAUAUUACACAGAACACCGAUUGCGAAGGCAGCUUGCUAGGCCGGAUCUGACACUGAUGCACGAAAGCGUGGGGAUCGAACAGGAUUAGAUACCCCGGUAGUC
rnacentral:rRNA from 1 species